rnacentral:rRNA from 1 species
AUUGAACGCUGGCGGCAGGCCUAACACAUGCAAGUCGAACGAGUGGCGGACGGGUGAGUAAUGUCUGGGAAACUGCCUGAUGGAGGGGGAUAACUACUGGAAACGGUAGCUAAUACCGCAUACCAUCGGAUGUGCCCAGAUGGGAUUAGCUAGUAGGUGGGGUAAAGGCUCACCUAGGCUACGAUCCCUCGAUGGUCUGAGAGGAUGACCAUCCACACUGGAACUGAGACACGGGCCAUACUCCUACGGGAGGCAGCAGUGGGUAAUAUUGCACAAUGGGCGCAAGCCUGAUGCAGCCAUGCCGCGUGUAUGAAGAAGGCCUUCGGGUUGUAAAGUACUUUCAGCGGGUAGGCGUUACCCGCAGAAGAAGCACCGGCUAACUCCGUGCCAGCAGCCGCGGUAAUUC